CCGUACUAGGGUAAGAGUUUAAUUCCCCUAACGAGGAAAUAUUAGAGUUUAAAGAAAACGGAAAUACGGAAAUUAUCUAUAGUUUACAUCACCAAAAUGAAAUAAGCAUAAUUUAUAGACCCCUCGUACGACCCUCCAAAAACCUCCGGCCAAGACUCCGAUCCACUACUUGGUCCAUUCCGUUGAGGGAUUCCUACUACUACCUGCAAUCAAAGAAGUAUCUAUAUGAGCUAUUAAGCCCAGUAAGAAAUCCGAAUGGAUAACGAGGUUUUAAAAUAUGGUUUUACGUACUUAUAUUAGUAUAUACACAUAAGCAUCACACCUUACCAUUCGUUGACAACGAACACACACAACCACGUAAUUUCAUUUAAACACGUAAAUCACAUAAAUCGACUCAAUUGCUGAAAAUCACCAAAUUACCCUUUUCGUGCAAAUGCAUGAAUGAAAACAUUUUCUAUUGUUCGGAUCCGUGAAAAAUGAACUUCUUUACUUGAGUGAUAAGCAUAUUAUUCUGAGCCCGUUCUUUUGGUGGAAUCAAACCACCCCUUUAACUAUAGUAACUAUGGUUGGAAUACCGGCCCCCCGUAUCCCGACUUAUCUAACCCAAGCAUUCCAUUAACUUUUCCUUUCGUAAGAAUGAAAUCUCUUUUUAUGCAAGACCAUGAGACGAAUGAGACUCUAAUACAAAAUGACCACUUUACGACAUCACAAAUAUUAAUCAACGAGCAUACAAAUAAAAUUCAAUUAUCCACAUAAUACUCACAUAUACACGGCAAUCACACACAUAUCAUACACACAUAUACAUAUAGCCAUUUAAGCAUAUCACAUAAUUCACAUUAUUAUCAUAUUAUGUAUUUAUAUAAAACACACACACACACACAGCAGCACAUACACACACACACGGCACACAUACACACACAUAACAUGCAGCCCCCAAAACACACUUUAAUUAGCAUUUAAUUAGCAAACCAUGCUCUUAAAGCACCAACAUUUCUAUCUUUUCAUUUAUGGGAUUUCUCCCACUUUUAUUCAUUUAAUGAAUUAAAACUCUUACAGCCCCUUAACAUAGUUCAGCUGCAGAUUUUUAACCAUCCAUUCACCUUCUCACAAUUAAUACUCAAGACAUAAUGAUUAAAACACAAAAGUUCUAUUUAUGACACAUGCACAAACAAUAUUUCGAAAUAAUAGCAUAUAGCAUCUAAAAAUUCUCAAAUUUAAUUAUAUGCUACCUAACUGACUAAAUGAACAGAUGCAAAAAGAAUUUUGUAGUUUCCUCAAAAAUCGGAUUUAUAAAAAUUAAAAUACUCGGCAAGUAGUAUUGAAGCCAAAAAUGAUUUUUCCAACAAAGUUUAAUUCAAAACUAAGGCCAAAUAGCAAAUAAUCAAAUUCCACUUACUCCUACUGAGAUUUUAAAGAUGAAAACAUUUUUCAUGUCGAAGUUUCAAGAAAUUGCAGAUUAGUCCUAAAGAUUCAUAGAUCUACACAUGCAACCCCAAAAAAAAUCUUGAAAACUCAUUUUCUUUUUCCAAAAUUCCCAAAAAUUCGAAAUAUGAAACCUUUAAACACAAAAUGCUUAGAAUCACAGAUUAUAACAUGGAUUAGACAUGCAAGAACACAAAUAACAAGAUUAGUGCAAGAUUUCGUAUUUUACACCCCUAAUUUUUCGAAAAGUGAAGAAAUCUUUUAGGUAAUUUCAAAAAUUCUUUUCCAUACUAUGAUACCCUUCGAUUGCAGCAAGAAAUUCGAGAUUUCUUACCUAUUAAAGAGUGUUUGGCCGAAGAAAGAAAAAACCUUCAAAAGAAAAGAGGGUUUUUAGAGAGAGAAAGGAGGAUGAAGAAAAUGAAGAACACAAUGAUACAAUGUUACCUCCUUCAAGAAGUGGCUCCAUGAUUGAACCAAGCUAGUUGAAUGGAGAAGGUAAGAGCUUUGAUAUCAAGUUGGGAGGAGUUUAAUUCUCCCGUAAGAGGGCAAGUGUUUUUGAUGGUGUUCUUGGCAUAUUCAAGGGUGAAGCUUAUAUAGGGGAUUUGCAUUUUGAUUUCUCUAUUUUUUUCUUGAGAAAUUUUGAGGUGUUGGCCGAUGGAGAUGGUGGUGCUUCGGUGGUGAUGGUGAAGAGAAGACAAGUGUAGGUGUAGGUGUCAAAUGAUGAAGAUAGAUGGGUGUCUCUUGAGAUUACUUAGCAUGCUUGAGUGUAGGAUUAGUGUAACUCCUCACUCUUUGCCAAGUGGACAAGCAUGCAUCUUUUCUAAUUUAUUUCUUAAUUAAUAAAUUCACUAAUUAACUCUCACACACACACAUAUCCGAAAACACACACACACAUAUAUUUAAAUAUGUAUUUCACUUAUGUAGGUCUAGCAUGCAUAGGCAUAUAGCUAUAUAUGUAUAAACGUAUAUGUAUAUGUGCAUGCAUGUAUAAUGUAUUAUAAAACACUUAGAGAAUUAAAAUGCCACAAAAUUAAUUAACUAUAACACAUAAGUCACAUAAAUUAAUCUAACACAUAAUUACCAAUAAUUAAUCUACUUAAGCACAUAAUUAUCAAAAUAAAGUUGGCACAUAAUUAUUCAAUAAAUUCCUACCACAUAAGGCAUAUAAUCAAAUCGGCAUAUAAGGAUUAAUAGUCUAAGCAAAUAAGGCACUUAAGGCACUUAAGUUAAUAAAGUGAAUAGAUUCCUAAUAAUUCCUACGUGAGAAUUUUCGGGUUAUGGAAUUUUGGUUAGGGAUUAGGGUUUCAAAAAUUAAUACAAACCUACUAUUCCUUAAAUCAGACUGUUUAUUAAUUCAACUAUUUAUUAAAUCAAACACAUCUUCAAACUAGUGCGGUUAUGAAAACAACUAUUUAUUAAUUCACAUUAUUCCACCAUCAAGACCAUUAAUCACAACACAUGCAUCUAAAUCCGUUAAUCACAGCAAAUGCCUCUGAAGCCAUGGGCAAAGCAACAUUCCUGUAUUUCACAUAGAAAAAAACCUCAUUUUAUGUCCGACGAACCCUAACGCGAACAAUACACAUCUUAAAAACGUAUGAAGCCCGUGGAAGCAGCUUAUGCUGCCGAUCUGCAAAACCAGGGCCGCCAUAAAUCCUAACGGAAGGAGGGGCAAAUAACUUCGUCUUAGAGUUCCUCGCCAACGACCUACCUAGUUGAUGAUUUGUUAGUGAUUGUCUUCGUGGGAGUUCUGAUUGUUCUUCUACUUUAGAUCGGCCUACAGAGA
rnacentral:lncRNA from 1 species